rnacentral:tRNA from 1 species
UAAAAGGUAAGCUAAGUUUAAGCUUUUGGGUUCAUACCUCAAAUAUAGAUAAAUUCUUCUUUUAA